UACGAAGGGGCUAGCGUUGUUCGGAAUUACUGGGCGUAAAGCGCGCGCAGGCGGUCUUCCAAGUCAGUGGUGAAAGCCCGGAGCUCAACUCCGGAACUGCCAUUUGAAACUGUUGGACUUGAGUACGAGAGAGGUGAGUGGAAUUCCCAGUGGUAGAGGUGAAAUUCGUAGAUAUUGGGAAAGAACACCGGUGGCGAAGGCGGCUCACUGG
rnacentral:rRNA from 1 species